GGGGCACUCUUAGAACCCCUGUGUCGUUGUGUUAAUAGCGCUUGCUUUGGCCGAGCAUCGUGGUUAGUGAAUC
rnacentral:ncRNA from 1 species